AAUGAACGCUGGCGGCGCGCCUAAUACAUGCAAGUCGAGCGAGAAGACGUAGCAAUACGUUUGUAAAGCGGCGAACGGGUGAGGAAUACAUGGGUAACCUACCCUCGAGUGGGGAAUAACUAGCCGAAAGGUUAGCUAAUACCGCGUACGCUCCUUGGACUUCGGUUCAGGGAGGAAAGCGAUACCGUGGGUAUCGCGCUCUUGGUUGGGCUCAUGUCCUAUCAGCUUGUUGGUGAGGAACGGCUCACCAAGGCUUCGACGGGUAGCUGGUCUGAGAGGACGAUCAGCCACACUGGCACUGCGACACGGGCCAGACUCCUACGGGGAGGCAACAGUAAGGAAUAUUGCGCAAUGGGCGAAAG
rnacentral:rRNA from 1 species